UGUGCUGGAUCCUGCUUUUCUGGUAUCUCCCUGCUCGCAACUCGCUGGCAACGUCCUGAAGCCAUGUGCAUGCCUGGCUCACCCUCUGGGAAUACGCGCCUGAAGAGCGACCAACAGCAUCAGCGUUAAGUGGCUCAGGCUGAUCACCAGGCCUGACCUCACGCUGAAGGAAGAGGGUCGAACGCCAAGGCGGCCGACUGGGAGCGCAGCCGAGGCGCUCGGAGACCAGCAGGCAACGGCAAGAAGGGGAGCUGGAGCGCGCGUCCGCAUCCGAGAGGCACCUGCGUGUGGAAGCGAGUGCUCACGUCUGGAAAGCAGCCCCGAGCGCCUGUCCUGGGCCUACCCGGCCCAGCCUGCCUGGUCUGUAUUAGGGAUCACAGCAAGCGGCAGGAAGCGCUGUAGGACACAUGCGCAUCAGGACUGGGCUUCGAGUAGCGAGUCUUCCUUAACCCGUUAAGUCGGUGACGCCUUGGGGGUUGGAGUCUGUAGCAAACGAUGCAGCCAGGAAUGGGCUAGCUCAGAUAUCACGAAAGAUGCAGCAAGCGCGACGGGGGAAGCGGGCCGGUUCCCGGGGCCGCCUGCAGAGAGGAGCCGGCAGCGCGUGGGAGGCGCAGCACCAGCACCAGGCCGGGCAGCCGCAGCCGAGCGGCGCAACGCCUGUGCAAGCACGAGAUUGCGAAUGCAGCUGCGACUCCCUUCCUAAGGGCGAGCGGGACCAGAGAAGCUGGUCGAGAGCGCUGGUGAAGGGCGGCUCCUGGGUACCCGGUGCUGCCGCCCAGCCCCUGGCGCGGAGCAGCUGCCGGAGGCUCCUGCACCUCAGGAGCCCUGGCCAAAGGGCAGAUGGAGAAUUGGUGAUAGGAACAAGCCCCACAAAAGUGCUGAAAGUAGUUUGGUCUACCUGA
rnacentral:lncRNA from 1 species